rnacentral:rRNA from 1 species
CCCUUAGAUGUUCUGGGCCGCACGCGUGCUACACUGAGUAAUUCAAUGGUAAGGGAACGCUAGAGCAUUACCUAAUCUUGAAAUUUGCUCGUGAUGGGGAUCGACGGUUGCAAUUUUCCGUCGUGAACGAGGAAUACCUUGUAGGCGCAUGUCAUCAUCAUGCGCCGAAUACGUCCCUGCCCUUUGUACACACCGCCCGUCGCUCCUACCGAUUGAGUGAUCCGGUGAGGCUCUGGGACCUGGACGGAAAGAGCGUUUCGCUUGUUCUGUUUGGGAAACUUGGUCGAACCUUAUCAUUUAGAGGAAGGAGAAGUCGUAACA